AUACGGAGGGUGCAAGCGUUACUCGGAAUCACUGGGCGUAAAGGAUGCGUAGGCUGGAUGUCAAGUUGGAAGUGAAAUCCUAUGGCUUAACCAUAGAACUGCUUCCAAAACUGGCAACCUAGAGUGAGGGAGAGGCAGAUGGAAUUAGUGGUGUAGGGGUAAAAUCCGUAGAUAUCACUAGGAAUACCGAUUGCGAAGGCGAUCUGCUAGAACUCUACUGACGCUAAGGCAUGAAAGCGUGGGGAGCAAACAGGAUUAGAAACCCGAGUAGUCC
rnacentral:rRNA from 1 species